GAGAGAGGGAAGCGGGCGCUUCAUCUAUCGCCCGGCGCUAGCGCUGGGUACGAGGAAAUACGGCUCGCUUGUAGCCAGUUGCAAGCGCUAGGCCGCCGCUUCUUCUUUCCCUCUUGAUCCUGUGCGUUCCGCACCAAAUUGAGUACUUCCCGCGUCAAAUCUCCUUCUUCCCACGCUAAAUCAACCUCUCCCGCGCCAAUCUCCACUACAUCCCCUCAAAUCGGACCUCCUGCACCAAAGUCUAUCCCAGGACAGAAAAAAUCGCCCCCAAAUCGCCUCAAGAACCCUAGAAGCCAAGCCCGGCGGCGCCCGCUGCGAGAUGGGUGGAAAGUCCAAGAGGACAACGGCGCCGGGGCCUCUGGAGUUCCCAUGGUCGUCCGGUCAGCCCGUCUGGCCGCCAACGGCUGCGUCUGUCCCGCCGCCGAUGGCUGCGUCCGUUCCACCGCCAACGGCUCAACCUGUUCCGGCCAUCCCUUCCAUGUUUGCGCCCGGCGUCUGGUUACAACCACGCCCGCAGCAGUCCAUGGCGACCUCCUCCGCACCGUGUUGGGUCGCCGGAGUACAUCAACCAGGUAUGGCCGGUUCGUCAGCUCAAGGCCCUUGGUGGAGACCGCCCGCUGAAAGUGGAUGCUCAAUACAACCUACACUUCCAGGCGAGAAUCUUGAGGAGCACGAUCCGCAAGCAUGGGGAUUGAAUUCUCACCCACCUGGUGGUUUCCUCAGUUUCUUUACGAACACAUCAAGCCACACACAAGGUAUGGGGAAUGGGACUUCAUCGCAGCCGAUCAAUGUUGGCAAUAACACCAAUGCUGACGGUUGGCAAUAACAAGGUAUGGGGAAUGGGAGUUUCUCAAAAAGCAACCAAAGUGGGACGCAUAUUUGGAACGCCUAGAAGAUCUGGAGCCAGAAAAGAGAAAGUUUAGCGUUGAUGAUGAAGUGGGGCAGCAUUUCACUCUAGAUGAUGCUCGAGAUGAACGACCACCGGGUGGCAAGCAAGCUAAAGAGCAGCGGAAACGAAAAAGAAAGGAUGAAAGUUGCAUAAUAGAUCUUGAAGAUGAGCUUAGCAAGUUCGUAGAUGCUCAAAAUGCAGCAAAUGAGGGACGCAAAGAGAUGUUAGAGACACAAAGGCGCGUGUCUAGUGAAAAUCUUGAAGCUCGGAAGCUUGCAUGCCUUGCAGCAAAAGAUCACAAGGAGUCUGUCAUGCUAGAGACAUACCGAUCGUUGAUGAUGCAAGACACAACUGGAAUGCCUGAAGAUGUGAGAUCAGAGCACGUGUUGGCAUUGAAGUGUUUUAGGGAGAGGUUAUUUGGCAAAACUGACUAAGUGCUUGAAGGUUGUUGAUGCAAAUGGUUAGCUGCUCCUUUCUACCGAAGUUCCAACUGUGGCUUUGUGCCUUUAUCAUCAUCAAGAUCAAACUACUAUCUUAUUUGCUGGAGACCAUAUUUAGUAUUUUGUUAGGCUAACGCUUUCUUCUAAAGAGUCAUGUAAUGUUGAAUUGUUGAUGUCAAGGUGCGGUGUGCCAUUAGUUUCUUGCUCAUUGUCAUCAAGAUCAAAAUUAAUUUCUAAUCAGUAUGGUGCUAUGUAGCAUUUGUUUGGUGCUUGCU